GGCAGGGUAGCUCAGUUGGUAGAGCACAGGACUCAUAAGCCUGAUGUCGUGGGUUCGAUCCCCACCCCUGCUA
rnacentral:tRNA from 1 species